rnacentral:rRNA from 1 species
UGGGUUUUAGAACGUCGUGAGACAGUUCGGUCCCUAUCUGCCGUGGGCGUAGGAGAAUUGGUUGGGGCUGCUCCUAGUACGAGAGGACCGGAGUGGACGCACCACUGGUGUUCCGGUUGUGUCGCCAGACGCAUUGCCGGGUAGCUAAGUGCGGAAGAGAUAAGUGCUGAAAGCAUCUAAGCACGAAACUUGCCAAGAGAUGAGUUCUCCCAAUCUAAGAGAUAGUAAGGGUUGUUGUAGACUACGACGUAGAUAGGUCUGGUGUGUAAGUGUAGUGAUACAUUGAGCUAACAGAUACUAAUUGCCCGAGAGGCUUAACU